CCAGCAUUGAAUUAAAAAGCUUGGUCUGAUUUUAAAACAGGGAAUUUUAUAUAGUUAUUCCUUAUUAGUCACCUUUGGCUAUUACAGAGCUUUCUUGAACUUGGAAUGUUUCUCUAGAUUAUAAAAACAUGUGCUUAGUUGCU
rnacentral:miRNA from 1 species